CCGAGCUCCCGCUGCUGCCUCCCCCCUCCUGAGACCCGUGGGGUGACCGCAGCGGGCAGCGGCCGAGCCCCGGCCCCGGGCAGCACCGCCUGCGGGCCGGGGUCCGUCAGGGCGCAGGUGCCCUCCUGCCCGGCGCCCUCCUGCCGCCGAGCGCCCGACACGGCUGCCUCCCACCCCCGGAGCCCCCGGGGUGGCGGUUCGCGGGUGGGGGGACAUUUUUAUUUACCUCUCUCUCGCGAGAAAGCGGUGCGCGGGCGAUACUUGAAGAGGAGGGGGGGGGAGAGAGGAGGGGAAAAAGGAGGAGGAGGGAGGGAGGGGGCAGCUGGAGCCGCAGCUGGAGUAGCGGUGGGUGCAGCGGCCGCAGCUGGAACAGCAGCGGGAACGGCAGCCGGCGGCGGCGGCUCGAGCGGGUGCGCGCCCCUCGCAGCGGGCUCUCCCGGGGCGGGCGGGCUGGGCGCGGGGCUCCGUACCCACGGGGCUCCCUAUCCCGGCCGGGCACCGCACUCCCGGCUCGCCGCGGUGCCCGGCGGGCGCUUCCACCCCGGAGAGGCUCCGAGAGCGACGGCGGCGGCCGCGGGCGGUCCGCGGCGGGUGCGGGAGCCCCGCGACUGCCGUCCGUCGAGGGAGGGCGGAGGGAGCGCGGCCGCGAGCGGCCCCUCGCCAUCCCCCGCGUCCGCCGCCUCCCGCGGGCGGGUAGCGCCGGGCUGGCCUGGGGCCGGCGGGGGCGGGGGGCUCGGGGCGGCCGUGCCCGCUCCCCCCCUGACGUCCCUUCGUCCCUUUUCUCCCCGCAGCUCGCUUCGGGGGAGCUCGGCGGAGGCGGCGCGGCGGAGACCGGCGGACUUCGGCGGCGGAGAGGAGGAGGCGGCGGCCGCUCGGAGCCCGGGGGCUCGGGGGACGCGAUGUGGCGGGGGCGGCUGCUGGGGAUCGCCCUGGGAGUUGCCGUGCUGUGGGCGUCCCAGGCGGGCGCCGCCGCCGCCGCCGGGCACUCCGAGGGGGCGAGCGCCAAGGAGCUGCGGGCCAGCCGGGCCAAGAGGAGAGGGCAGGGCGGCGGCGGGCACGACGCGCUCAAAGGGAUUUCGGACCUACAGAACCAGCCUCACUCAUGCUAAGGUUGAUGUGUAGAUAGAGACACAAGAAGAAGCAAUUUCUUUUUGUUAUGGCAGCUCUUUAAAGUUUGGGCUUUUCUCUGGAAGGUACACUGGAAGGCAAAAUGGAGCUAUUAAAUUAAAACCUGUGCCUUCUGCUUUUGCAUAUACAUAUUCACUGAAGUAUGAAGGAGUUCCAGCUUUUAUCUGGAAGAAUAUUUUGAAUGUUGACUUGCUGGAGAAUCUUUUGUUUUCCUUUUUACUUUUCAUUUUAUGAAAUGAUUCAUGACCAUUAAAGCCUCAAAAAUACCGAAUGAAAGCCGCAGUUCUUUUGUCUACAGCCUUAAUCAUUUUCAUCCUCUUCUUCAAGCUUCCCUCUUUCUCAUGUUUUGCUGGAGGACAUCAGAAUAUCCAGUGAUGUUCAGCUGAGGUUUCAAAAUAGAAUUUGUUUCCUUUCAGGAACGUUAUUUUUCUGCCUCUUUUCUCUUUCUUUGUUUUUCCCUCUGAUGUUCCAUCUUUUCCUCUUCCCUGUAUACAAAGUAAACUACCAGUGACUGCUGGGGACAAGGUGAAUUAAAACUUGGGGAUCAGCGUCAGCAGGGUUUUCCCAUUGCACAAUAGCAGAUAUACAGUUGACUGACCUUUCAAAACCACAGCAUUGCUAUCCCAGCUUGGAGAGAGUCAGAGGGUAUGAGACAGUGUGUGUGUGGUGGAGGGAGGAGGAGGAACGCUUCUGUCUUAGCAAAAAUAAAUCUUCCAGUAGCCUACCAGAGAGCAUUUUAAAAUAUGAGUUAGAGGAGUUGCUUAACACCCGAGGGCAUUUGCUGACAAGCAUUGAUACAGCUGUCAGGUUUAUGAGACUCUCUCUGUGAGCACUCGGAUGUGCUCUGAGGAGGGAUGGCGUAGCACCAGCCCAUCGCAGCCACCCACAUGCCAAACACGGUUCCUGUGCUGCUGCCCCAUCAGUGCAUGGCGCGGGCUGGCAAGUCCUGUGCUAGCAGAUACCCUGCUAGCACACAUUGUUAGAGGUCCACCUGCAUUGAUAUUAGCAGUUACAGAGCGAGUGCUGGAAGUGGUGCAGGAGCUGCAACCUCAUCUCUUCCUGCAGCCCCAAUGAGAGUGACAUCUGGAGGGCUGAGCACUGCACUAGAGCCACAGCUACUGCGUCCUCCUGUGGGGUGCUAUGCAGGGACACCAGGGUAGAAAGGCUCCAAUUUCUUUUCCUCUGAAUGCGCU
rnacentral:lncRNA from 1 species